UACGUAGGUGGCGAGCGUUAUCCGGAAUUACUGGGCGUAAAGGGAGCGUAGGCGGGAGAUUAAGUUAAGAGUGAAAGCCUUGGGCUCAACCCAAGAAAUGCUCUUAAUACUGGUUUUCUAGAGUGUGGGAGAGGUAAGUGGAAUUCCUAGUGUAGCGGUGGAAUGCGUAGAUAUUAGGAGGAACACCAGAGGCGAAGGCGGCUAACUGGACUGUAACUGACGCUGAGGCACGAAAGUGUGGGGAGCAAACAGG
rnacentral:rRNA from 1 species